GUAGUCCACGCUGUAAACGUUGGGCGCUAGGUGUGGGGGGCCUCUCCGGUUCUCUGUGCCGCAGCUAACGCAUUAAGCGCCCCGCCUGGGGAGUACGGCCGCAAGGCUAAAACUCAAAGGAAUUGACGGGGGCCCGCACAAGCGGCGGAGCAUGCGGAUUAAUUCGAUGCAACGCGAAGAACCUUACCUGGGUUUGACAUGGGCGCUAAAGCAGCAGAGAUGUUGUGUCCUUCGGGGGCGUUCACAGGUGGUGCAUGGCUGUCGCCAGCUCGUGUCGUGAGAUGUUGGGUUAAGUCCCGCAACGAGCGCAACCCUUGUUCGAUGUUGCCAGCGGGUUAUGCCGGGGACUCAUCGAAGACUGCCGGGGUCAACUCGGAGGAAGGUGGGGAUGACGUCAAGUCAUCAUGCCCCUUAUGUCCAGGGCUUCACGCAUGCUACAAUGGCCGGUACAAAGGGCUGCGAUACCGUGAGGUGGAGCGAAUCCCAAAAAGCCGGUCUCAGUUCGGAUCGGGGUCUGCAACUCGACCCCGUGAAGUCGGAGUCGCUAGUAAUCGCAGAUCAGCAACGCUGCGGUGAAUACGUUCCCGGGCCUUGUACACACCGCCCGUCACGUCACGAAAGUCGGUAACACCCGAAGCCGGUGGCCCAACCCUUGUGGAGGGAGCCGUCGAAGGUGGGACUGGCGAUUGGGACG
rnacentral:rRNA from 1 species